AGUCUAGAAGGGGGAAAGGGGGAAACCACAGGAGAGAAGAAGAAUCAAGCUACGCGACCAGAGGAGAGGAGAGGGAAGCCAUGGAUGUGCACCAGGGGACGCGGAAGAGGAGGCUUGUUGCCAUGCCUUCUCUGCUCGAGGGGGAUGGCGAGAACCUGCUUCUGCUGAAGUAUCUGCGCUCGCCGGCGCCGGCGAAGAGGAGGCUUGUUGCCAUGCCUUCUCUGCUCGAGGGGGAUGGCGAGAACCUGCUUCUGCUGAAGUAUCUGCGCUCGCCGGCGCCGGCGCCGGCGCCGGCGUCUGCGCCGAUGAUGCCCAAGCCGCCGCCUCCGUUGGAAGACUUCCAAGGCCUAGGAGAAGAUGGCAAGCCGCGGUGGCCGUCCAAGGAAUUGCUCCGUCAGAUGUUUGUGGACAGUGCUCCGGCCGGAUCGAUUCCGCCCGCUGUCUAAUUAAUUACGAGUAGCUUUCUUUCUACUCGAUGGUGUGCCCAUAUGUAAUUAAUUUUGACCAUCGAUGAUGGCAACUACUUUGUUUGUAUGCACUUUCUUGUUUUAAUCGAUGAUGGGCUACCUACUGUCUAAUUCUUGUUUGUUUGGCAAAGCAAGUGUAACGCCAUGUUCAGUUUUGAGCCUAAUUGCUUGCUUGUUCCUCUGCAUAUCGAUUGCUUUUGGUGCAGAUGAACAAACACAAGUUGAACAUUCCACCAACAGCUGCUGGCUACUUGAUUAUAACCGGCUUAGUCGGCAACUUGACC
rnacentral:lncRNA from 1 species